rnacentral:rRNA from 1 species
GGUUAAGCGACUAAGCGUACACGGUGGAUGCCCUGGCAGUCAGAGGCGAUGAAGGACGUGCUAAUCUGCGAUAAGCGUCGGUAAGGUGAUAUGAACCGUUAUAACCGGCGAUUUCCGAAUGGGGAAACCCAGUGUGUUUCGACACACUAUCAUUAACUGAAUCCAUAGGUUAAUGAGGCGAACCGGGGGAACUGAAACAUCUAAGUACCCCGAGGAAAAGAAAUCAACCGAGAUUCCCCCAGUAGCGGCGAGCGAACGGGGAGCAGCCCAGAGCCUGAAUCAGUGUGUGUGUUAGUGGAAGCGUCUGGAAAGGCGCGCGAUACAGGGUGACAGCCCCGUACACAAAAAUGCACAUGCUGUGAGCUCGAUGAGUAGGGCGGGACACGUGGUAUCCUGUCUGAAUAUGGGGGGACCAUCCUCCAAGGCUAAAUACUCCUGACUGACCGAUAGUGAACCAGUACCGUGAGGGAAAGGCGAAAAGAACCCCGGCGAGGGGAGUGAAAAAGAACCUGAAACCGUGUACGUACAAGCAGUGGGAGCACGCUUAGGCGUGUGACUGCGUACCUUUUGUAUAAUGGGUCAGCGACUUAUAUUCUGUAGCAAGGUUAACCGAAUAGGGGAGCCGAAGGGAAACCGAGUCUUAACUGGGCGUUAAGUUGCAGGGUAUAGACCCGAAACCCGGUGAUCUAGCCAUGGGCAGGUUGAAGGUUGGGUAACACUAACUGGAGGACCGAACCGACUAAUGUUGAAAAAUUAGCGGAUGACUUGUGGCUGGGGGUGAAAGGCCAAUCAAACCGGGAGAUAGCUGGUUCUCCCCGAAAGCUAUUUAGGUAGCGCCUCGUGAAUUCAUCUCCGGGGGUAGAGCACUGUUUCGGCAAGGGGGUCAUCCCGACUUACCAACCCGAUGCAAACUGCGAAUACCGGAGAAUGUUAUCACGGGAGACACACGGCGGGUGCUAACGUCCGUCGUGAAGAGGGAAACAACCCAGACCGCCAGCUAAGGUCCCAAAGUCAUGGUUAAGUGGGAAACGAUGUGGGAAGGCCCAGACAGCCAGGAUGUUGGCUUAGAAGCAGCCAUCAUUUAAAGAAAGCGUAAUAGCUCACUGGUCGAGUCGGCCUGCGCGGAAGAUGUAACGGGGCUAAACCAUGCACCGAAGCUGCGGCAGCGACGCUUAUGCGUUGUUGGGUAGGGGAGCGUUCUGUAAGCCUGCGAAGGUGUGCUGUGAGGCAUGCUGGAGGUAUCAGAAGUGCGAAUGCUGACAUAAGUAACGAUAAAGCGGGUGAAAAGCCCGCUCGCCGGAAGACCAAGGGUUCCUGUCCAACGUUAAUCGGGGCAGGGUGAGUCGACCCCUAAGGCGAGGCCGAAAGGCGUAGUCGAUGGGAAACAGGUUAAUAUUCCUGUACUUGGUGUUACUGCGAAGGGGGGACGGAGAAGGCUAUGUUGGCCGGGCGACGGUUGUCCCGGUUUAAGCGUGUAGGCUGGUUUUCCAGGCAAAUCCGGAAAAUCAAGGCUGAGGCGUGAUGACGAGGCACUACGGUGCUGAAGCAACAAAUGCCCUGCUUCCAGGAAAAGCCUCUAAGCAUCAGGUAACAUCAAAUCGUACCCCAAACCGACACAGGUGGUCAGGUAGAGAAUACCAAGGCGCUUGAGAGAACUCGGGUGAAGGAACUAGGCAAAAUGGUGCCGUAACUUCGGGAGAAGGCACGCUGAUAUGUAGGUGAGGUCCCUCGCGGAUGGAGCUGAAAUCAGUCGAAGAUACCAGCUGGCUGCAACUGUUUAUUAAAAACACAGCACUGUGCAAACACGAAAGUGGACGUAUACGGUGUGACGCCUGCCCGGUGCCGGAAGGUUAAUUGAUGGGGUUAGCGCAAGCGAAGCUCUUGAUCGAAGCCCCGGUAAACGGCGGCCGUAACUAUAACGGUCCUAAGGUAGCGAAAUUCCUUGUCGGGUAAGUUCCGACCUGCACGAAUGGCGUAAUGAUGGCCAGGCUGUCUCCACCCGAGACUCAGUGAAAUUGAACUCGCUGUGAAGAUGCAGUGUACCCGCGGCAAGACGGAAAGACCCCGUGAACCUUUACUAUAGCUUGACACUGAACAUUGAGCCUUGAUGUGUAGGAUAGGUGGGAGGCUUUGAAGUGUGGACGCCAGUCUGCAUGGAGCCGACCUUGAAAUACCACCCUUUAAUGUUUGAUGUUCUAACGUUGACCCGUAAUCCGGGUUGCGGACAGUGUCUGGUGGGUAGUUUGACUGGGGCGGUCUCCUCCUAAAGAGUAACGGAGGAGCACGAAGGUUGGCUAAUCCUGGUCGGACAUCAGGAGGUUAGUGCAAUGGCAUAAGCCAGCUUGACUGCGAGCGUGACGGCGCGAGCAGGUGCGAAAGCAGGUCAUAGUGAUCCGGUGGUUCUGAAUGGAAGGGCCAUCGCUCAACGGAUAAAAGGUACUCCGGGGAUAACAGGCUGAUACCGCCCAAGAGUUCAUAUCGACGGCGGUGUUUGGCACCUCGAUGUCGGCUCAUCACAUCCUGGGGCUGAAGUAGGUCCCAAGGGUAUGGCUGUUCGCCAUUUAAAGUGGUACGCGAGCUGGGUUUAGAACGUCGUGAGACAGUUCGGUCCCUAUCUGCCGUGGGCGCUGGAGAACUGAGGGGAGCUGCUCCUAGUACGAGAGGACCGGAGUGGACGCAUCACUGGUGUUCGGGUUGUCAUGCCAAUGGCACUGCCCGGUAGCUAAAUGCGGAAGAGAUAAGUGCUGAAAGCAUCUAAGCACGAAACUUGCCCCGAGAUGAGUUCUCCCUGACUCCUUGAGAGUCCUGAAGGAACGUUGAAGACGACGACGUUGAUAGGCCGGGUGUGUAAGCGCAGCGAUGCGUUGAGCUAACCGGUACUAAUGAACCGUGAGGCUUAACCUU